UCCAUGAAGUCGGAAUCGCUAGUAAUCGCGAAUCAGAAUGUCGCGGUGAAUACGUUCCCGGGCCUUGUACACACCGCCCGUCACACCAUGGGAGUGGGUUGUACCAGAAGUAGAUAGCUUAACCUUUUGGAGGGCGUUUACCACGGUAUGAUUCAUGACUGGGGUGAAGUCGUAACAAGGUAACCGUAGGGGAACCUGCGGUUGGAUCACCUCCUUACCAAAGA
rnacentral:rRNA from 1 species